UACGUAGGGUGCAAGCGUUGUCCGGAUUUAUUGGGCGUAAAGAGCUCGUAGGUGGCGGGUCACGUCGGGUGUGAAAGCCCGGGGCUUAACCCCGGGUCUGCAUUCGAUACGGGUCUGCUGGGGUCCGGCAGGGGAGACUGGAAUUCCUGGUGUAGCGGUGAAAUGCGCAGAUAUCAGGAGGAACACCUGUGGCGAAAGCGGCUCACUGGACCAUUACUGACACUGAGGCACGAAAGCUAGGGGAGCAAACAGG
rnacentral:rRNA from 1 species